GCUCCCAAACGCUAUUGAUUUCAGAAUUAAUGGAUAUUUGGUGUUAUUUUUGGCAUUCAAAAAAGGUUGGUUUUUUUGCCUGGUGGGUGUUCUUGGCCCGGUGGCCCACCAAGUCUAUACAAUUAUAGGGGAAACACUGUGUUUAAUUCAAAUACCCAUAGAGAGAAGAUGUGUCACUCUGUUGGAGUUGUGGGAACUACAGAAACACUCAAUCCACUCACAAUAUAACAGCGGUGUUACAGAGUGGAGAUCCCUCCCUCACAAAUUAUCUUUGGCUGAGUACAGACUCACAAACCCAAUAACAGUUUUAAUUUUGGCCUGAAUUAAAGUUAUUCACAGAAUUAAUGUUAAUUAGCAACAGCUGAUAUGAUCUGCCAAUUUGUACACUGCUACUCUUUGGCAGUGAGAAAGAGAGAGUUAGUCGUAGUUUAGUGAAUGUGUGUAUUUUGCCAACCAGGACAUCAGAAUUCAGAGCCACACACUCGGGACUCGCAUAUACGAGCGAAAUGCUCACACUGUCGGCUGUGGUGAAGGAGAGCAGCACUGCGACGCUAGCAGGUUGAGCUGGACCAAACACAGUAGAGCUCAGUAAAGAAUCAGCAUUUGAUCGACUUUAUUUUAGCAGAUGCCAAUCUUUUAAAAAUAUGCCCUGAUAUGGAACAUCUCUUGUUACUUCAUCUCUGCUCAGCAAGUGGUUUAAUUGGAUACUUUACACAAGCAACAAACACCCUUACAAGUAUACUGAUAUAUUUUUGUUAACAUGUUGUUCUACUCCCAUGUAUUCAGUCCUUUUACUCAUAUUUCUAUCCACUUAAAAAAAACAAACAUAUCGCGGGCUUCAGGGUCCUGAGCACCAAGAUGUUCUGGCAGACCCAACAGACCAUCCAACAACCACCUGCUGGCUUUACUCCACCACCGCCAGUGUCUCGACUGAGGAAUCCUGUUCUAUCUCUAAUCUUUACAUGGGUUUAUGCUUAAUGAAGAUGCUUCACAUCGAUGGAUUCUAAUCAUCAAGUCUUUUUCUGUUGCUACCCUCGAUAAAUACUGUUAUACACUUCCAACCGUUUACUGAACUGAGUGCAGGCAAAUUUGUCACACAGCCUUGUCUACCGCCCACCACUACACCUUCGCCUGCAACUGUCAACACUGCCAUAUGAUUGAUUGUGGGCUGCACAGUUUUGAUUUACUUUUACUAGUUUCAGAAAAAACUCUCGUCUGUACUUUUUCUGCUUUGAGGACGUUGUAAGGCAUGUCUGCUCCCACCGUGACUUGCAAGCCUCACCAUCUGGCAGGAGCACAUUUCGGCAGCAGCCUGAGAACACGCUAAAUUAGAUUUCGUUUGGAGUAAACUGCUGUUCGUGCUGCUACAAACUUCCAUUUUCUUACUGUUGGGAUAAUGCUAAUCACCUGUGAUUACUAACCAUACUGUAGGCUAAAAGCACGAGCAUGUGAUAGAACUCUGUAUUGUAUAACUCUGGAAUAUGACACAACUUUAAACUGAAUUAUAUGAACAUUAGAAGGUGUUAAGCUCAGUUCUGUCAUAUAAAGGGAGGAUAAACAGAGCGUAGGUGGGUUUAUCUUCUCCUAAACCCCUUUGUGUUAUAUCUGUGUAAAGAUAUGCAGGAUCGACAUAGCCUUUACUGUGUAUAGAUACCCAUUGGACAACAUAACAAUGUCCUAUUCAGUACUCCAACAGCUGCAUCCGCUUUGAUUGUCUAUUAAAGAAUGCGCACUAUAGCUCCAAGGUUACAUCAGUCAUGCUGUAUAAACUUUAUCCACCUGCAUUUUGUUGCUCACUCCCCUGUCUCCUCCUGUCGGCCUCUUUUUCUUCUAACCCUCUUUCUCUCCUCCUUUCUCCAUCAGGCGUUGGUAUUCUCAUCUGAAAGAGGAGAACAGAGAGGGAAAGAAUAAGCAUGGGGAUGCAAGGGCACAUGGCGGAGAGAAUACUAAGCACCGAUGAGUGUUAAACACAAAGCCCCGCACAGGCGCCGGUGUGCACGCACACACACAGAGGAGAACUACAACUUCAGUUUAUGCAAGACACGGGCAAUUAUCGAGCGGGUCAACGAGCAGUGGAAACGUCGCUUCCAUUGCCUGCAUGCUGAGCUUUGUGUGGAUCCAGGCAGAGCAUGCAAGAUCACUCUUGCAUAGUGCUGUUCAACUUAUCGAAGGACUUUGCAGUAGAUAAGGAGGAUGAGCAGCAUGAGACCACUGAAGAGGCCGAGGAGGAUGGGGAGGAAGGAGUUGAAAACUAUGACCACACUGUGCGAGAGACCAUAGUUACCAAUUUAUUUAGCUAAAAGAAAUAAUAAAAGGCUAUAAAUAAAGAAUGAUUCCACAAAUUAUUGUAAUUAAGUACAUUUAUUUGUUAUUGAAACGUAUAUGUUUGGACAGGAAUGAUUAUAAUAUUUAAUAAUUAAUACUUAUUUGUUAUGAAGUGGAUACAUGGCCUGUCUAUUAUUCAAGAGCAGCCGCAGUUAAUAUGAUUGAUUCUUCAGAGAGCUUGCUUAUUUCGUGUUGCAGUAAAACAUUUUACAUGUACAAAUUGUUUUUCUCCAUGGCCAAGUUCUCAAUUUGAAGCUCUAAUUUCCUUUUUUGGAGAAGUAAAACUUCCCCUCGGAGUGCCAGAACAGAUGGACUGUCUCCGUUGCUUCUGUAAUGAAAAAAAGAGGGGACAAGCAAUAAUGCAACUUUAGCAGUAACAAGACGGUGAGUCGUGAUCAGUGAUGUCCACUACCAUCACUGCCUCAUUUGAAAGAGGGUUUGGAGGUGGACCCCUGCCUGGAAAAUUACAGUUGUUAGUAAAUGAUUUAUUUUAUAGCACAGUUACAAUCUGAACGAGAAGGCUAGUUUAUGUCAUGGAAUGUUAUAGGGGCCUUAAGCCUACUUCAUGCUAGCUAGCUAACGGUAGGCUAUAAGGUUACAGUCUAGUUAAUAUCUAUAGCUUAAAUACUUUAAUGUGUAAUGAAAACAACAAUAAAUAAAUAACUCAGAAGAAGAUGUCAUUUCUAUUAUGAACGACUUCUGUACAGAGAUUUCUCUUUGUCUGUUGUUUUCUGUUUGCUGUUAUUUGCGGAUCAUAUUUACUUUUUAGUAUGUGCUUUCAUUUAUUGUAUUCCUCCAGAAGUAUAAUCUUUUCUGACCAAUUUGGUUUUCUUGUCUUCUUUUCUUCCAUU